GCAAAACGCGAAGAACCUUACCUACUCUUGACAUCCACGGAACUUAGCAGAGAUGCUUUGGUGCCUUCGGGAACCGUGAGACAGGUGCUGCAUGGCUGUCGACAGCUCGUGUUGUGAAAUGUUGGGUUAAGUCCCGCAACGAGCGCAACCCUUAUCCUUUGUUGCCAGCGGUUAGGCCGGGAACUCAAAGGAGACUGCCAGUGAUAAACUGGAGGAAGGUGGGGAUGACGUCAAGUCAUCAUGGCCCUUACGAGUAGGGCUACACACGUGCUACAAUGGCGCAUACAAAGAGAAGCGACCUCGCGAGAGCAAGCGGACCUCAUAAAGUGCGUCGUAGUCCGGAUUGGAGUCUGCAACUCGACUCCAUGAAGUCGGAAUCGCUAGUAAUCGUAGAUCAGAAUGCUACGGUGAAUACGUUCCCGGGUCUUGUACACACCG
rnacentral:rRNA from 1 species